UUCAGAUGUGAAACGCACAGACCACCUGCAAACUUCAUCAGUUUAAAACGCUACCUUUCACCUUCAUUGUUAAAUAAUUUAUGAAAUGCAAAUCCAAUGGCAAAUUUCCAGAAAAUUGCUGAAACAGUAUAAUCUCUAUUGGUCACAAAUCAACCCUUAAAUAAUGUAAAUUUUUAUUAUUCUGUUGGACAUAUUUUUUUGAAAAUAAAUACAAUGAUACUUUUCCCUAUAGCGAUCCUAAACCCAAGGGUAGCGAUUGAUCAGAUGUGGGAGGCAGAGACAAACUGAAAACUUUCUUUGAAACAGUUUUAAUUCUCCAGUAACAUGUUAAUUUACAAACUGACAUUGAGUCUGUCUAAUAUUGUAAAUUAUUUUCUUUGAAAAUAAAAUAAACGCAACUUCCACCUAUCCCCAAUCCUAAAAACCCAUGGAUGCCGA